GCCAGCUUCCGUUCCUCAGCCUUUCUUCUCUAAACACCAAGUUCCACCAUUGACAGAACACUGAGUCCUGCACAGUCACAUGGACACGAGUAAGGAGAGUUCAGAGGCUGCAGUGGAGUUCCACACGAAGCACAGGAGGUGAAACCCCUUUUUCCUGGCUCCUCAGGAGACAUGUGAAGACAACGCGAUUAGAGGUCCUUCAGGCACGGAUAGGAUGGCUUGGCAUCUUCUUCCGAGCAAGCGCAGCUCUCAGGCCGGGCCUGAGCCUGCAGCCUGUGUGCCCUCCAUCAUCAGGGCCCCCUCUCAGGACAGGCUACACCGAGGGUGGGACGGCGGACUUCCAGGGACACUUCCAAGUCGUGCCCAUGCAGAUACCUCAGUAUACACUGCCCACAGUUAAGAAACCACGACCUGAGACAUUGUUUUGAAGAGGUGAAAAUGCCUCCACUCAAGUGGCCCAGGAGCGUGAUCCAGGAAGACGAACACACAGAACCAUCUUCUGCAUGGUUUGAAAAUUCAGUGGAAACUAGGACUCCAAGCUGCUGUCCCCUCUCUGCCGCAUCUGAGGCUGGGAAAACUUCCUAGGAGAAGGCAAGAGAAAGCCACCAGACCAGAGCCGAGGACUAAACUUUAAGGUCGAAGACGGCAGAGGGGCAGGUUCUCCCCUGCACACCCCAAGGCCUCUCCUGCACCCGCGAGGCCUUCCUUGAGCGCCCAGGCCCCCGAAAUGCCUGCCCUCCUUCUGACAAAAGGAGGGGGUAGGAUGUGAAGGGGUAGUGCAACCAACAAUGUUUUUGUAAACACAACAACAGGGAAAUACAUGGAGGAAAUCU
rnacentral:lncRNA from 1 species